rnacentral:rRNA from 1 species
CCUACGGGUGGCUGCAGUGGGGAAUAUUGCACAAUGGGGGAAACCCUGAUGCAGCGACGCCGCGUGAGUGAGGAAGUAUUUCGGUAUUUAAAGCUCUAUCAGCAGGGAAGAAAAUGACGGUACCUGACUAAGAAGCACCGGCUAACUACGUGCCAGCAGCCGCGGUAAUACGGAGGGGGCAAGCGUUAUCCGGAUUUACUGGGGGUAAAGGGAGCGUAGGCGGCUAAUCAAGUCAGAAGUGAAAACCCAGGGCUCAACUUUGGGACUGCAUUUGAAACUGAGUAGCUAGAGUGCAGGAGAGGUAAGCGGAAUUCCUAGUGUAGCGGUGAAAUGCGUAGAUAUUAGGAGGAACAUCAGUGGCGAAGGCGGCUUACUGGACUGUAACUGACGCUGAGGCUCGAAAGCGUGGGGAGCAAACAGGAUUAGAUACCCGGGUAGUC